UAGGGAAUCUUCCACAAUGGACGCAAGUCUGAUGGAGCAACGCCGCGUGAGUGAAGAAGGCUUUCGGGUCGUAAAACUCUGUUAUUGAAGAAGAACGUGUGUGACAGUAACUGGUCAUGCAGUGACGGUAUUCAAUCAGAAAGUCACGGCUAACUACGUGCCAGCAGCCGCGGUAAUACGUAGGUGGCAAGCGUUGUCCGGAUUUAUUGGGCGUAAAGCGAGUGCAGGCGGUCUUUUAAGUNUGAUGUGAAAGCCUUCGGCUUAACCGAAGAA
rnacentral:rRNA from 1 species